AAAUCAGCCUUCUAUUCAGUAAUCACUGCAAUAAUAAUGUGGAAGAUCCCUGGAUGCAUAUUUCUGUCUGACCAGUGACUUCCAUCAAAUUAUGCUGGCCAGCUCUUUCAGACAAACCACUUUCAAAUCCAAGUACAAAGCUCAACUUUACCUCAAUAAUUUCUUCACAUAAGCACCUACGGAAAAACAGACACAGCUUGGAAAAUCAAGUAAUUUCCCUCCUCUGGGAAAGAAGAAAAAGAAAAGGAUUAUAGCUGUCCUUUUUAAUCUGAAAUAUUUGAGACAUGCUGAAUUACCGCACUGAUGAGACUUACGAUUUCCAUGAGAAAAUGAGACAUGUAGUCUCCCUCUGGGAAGGUGUUUGACUUUAACAGAAACAUCCAUGUUCCCUCAGGCUGGGAUGUGACUGGCAAUGUACCAUCGAUCCUUAAACUGACUGAUUUCUUAUCCUGCUUGCCAUACAUAGUAUUAUCACCAAAGAAGCUGUUCCACGUUUGCAGCAAGAAGCCAUUGCAGACCAGCUCCGGUGAAAGACUGCGUGUGUACCUGAUAUCCUAGAUGCUGUAUUUGAGGAAAGGAAUUGAGGAAAGGAUUAAUGCCAUUCAGUUGCCUAUGCUGCACUCAUUUCAACACUUCUGUGGGAGUGUCUUGAUCACAGUUCAUCUGAGGUAG
rnacentral:lncRNA from 1 species